rnacentral:rRNA from 1 species
GACGAACGCUGGCGGCGUGCUUAACACAUGCAAGUCGAACGGAAAGGCCCUGCUUUUGUGGGGUGCUCGAGUGGCGAACGGGUGAGUAACACGUGAGUAACCUGCCCUUGACUUUGGGAUAACUUCAGGAAACUGGGGCUAAUACCGGAUAGGAGCUCCUGCUGCAUGGUGGGGGUUGGAAAGUUUCGGCGGUUGGGGAUGGACUCGCGGCUUAUCAGCUUGUUGGUGGGGUAGUGGCUUACCAAGGCUUUUACGGGUAGCCGGCCUGAGAGGGUGACCGGCCACAUUGGGACUGAGAUACGGCCCAGACUCCUACGGGAGGCAGCAGUGGGGAAUGUUGCACAAUGGGCGGAAGCCUGAUGCAGCAACGCCGCGUGCGGGAUGACGGCCUUCGGGUUGUAAACCGCUUUCGCCUGUGACGAAGCGUGAGUGACGGUAAUGGGUAAAGAAGCACCGGCUAACUACGUG